AGUAUAAGCAAUUAUACAGCGAAACUGCGAAUGGCUCAUUAUAUAAGUUAUCGUUUAUUUGAUAGUACUUUACUACUUGGAUAACCGUGGUAAUUCUAGAGCUAAUACAUGCUAAAAAUCCCGACUUCGGAAGGGAUGUAUUUAUUAGAUUAAAAACCAAUGCCCUUUGGGCUCCUUGGUGAAUCAUGAUAACUUCUCGAAUCGCAUGGCCUUGCGCCGGCGAUGGUUCAUUCAAAUUUCUUCCCUAUCAACUUUCGAUGUUUGGGUAUUGGCCAAACAUGGUCGCAACGGGUAACGGAGGGUUAGGGCUCGACCCCGGAGAAGGAGCCUGAGAAACGGCUACUACAUCCAAGGAAGGCAGCAGGCGCGCAAAUUACCCAAUCCCGACUCGGGGAGGUAGUGACAAUAAAUACUGAUACGAGGCUCUUUUGGGCCUUGUAAUUGGAAUGAGUACAAUUUAAAUCUCUUAACGAGGAACAAUUGGAGGGCAAGUCUGGUGCCAGCAGCCGCGGUAAUUCCAGCUCCAAUAGCGUAUAUUAAAGUUGUUGUGGUUAAAAAGCUCGUAGUUGAACCUUGGGCCUGGCUGGCCGGUCCGCCUCACCGCGUGUACUGGUCCGGCCGGGCCUUUCCCUCUGUGGAACCUCAUGCCCUUCACUGGGUGUGACGGGGAAGCAGGACUUUUACUGUGAAAAAAUUAGAGUGCUCCAAGCAGGCCUAUGCUCGAAUACAUUAGCAUGGAAUAAUGAAAUAGGACGUGCGGUUCUAUUUUGUUGGUUUCUAGGACCGCCGUAAUGAUUAAUAGGGACAGUCGGGGGCAUCAGUAUUCAAUUGUCAGAGGUGAAAUUCUUGGAUUUAUUGAAGACUAACUACUGCGAAAGCAUUUGCCAAGGAUGUUUUCAUUAAUCAGGAACGAAAGUUAGGGGAUCGAAGACGAUCAGAUACCGUCGUAGUCUUAACCAUAAACUAUGCCGACUAGGGAUCGGACGAUGUUAUUUUUUGACUCGUUCGGCACCUUACGAGAAAUCAAAGUGUUUGGGCUCCAGGGG
rnacentral:rRNA from 1 species